AGUCACACAGCUGCCUGGAAGGUGACUGGAGGCCUUGAUCGGUUCUCAUUGCGAUUUUGCUGCUGUGGCCCCAACCCUGCCUCCCUCCCCACCCUGCGAUGGCAGAAGAAACUCAACACAACAAAUUGGCUGCAGCCAAGAAAAAGUUAAAAGAAUAUUGGCAGAAAAACAGCCCUAGAGUUCCAGCAGGAGCGAACAGGAACAGGAAAACAAAUGGCAGUAUCCCUCAGACAGCCACUUCUGGUGGUUGCCAGCCACCUGGGGAUUCAGCAACAGGUUUUCACAGGGAAGGCCCUACAUCAUCUGCUACCCUGAAAGAUCUGGAGAGCCCGUGCCAAGAACGAGCAGUAGUCCUGGAUUCAAGGUCCGUAGAAAUCAGUCAACUGAAGAACACCAUCAAAUCUUUGAAACAACAGAAGAAACAAGUGGAACAUCAGCUGGAAGAAGUAACGUGAUUUCGUUUCCUUGCAACAUGACUGCUGGAAGAAGGCUCACCCUUCAGAUUCCACCCCAUCCCCUCAGGGCCCCGAUAACCUGGUCCCAUGGGUGGGCCUGUCCUGGGGCAUUGGUGGCAUUCUGGGGGCAUGUCUCUUGCUGUGCCAUCUCUGCCUCCCCCUGGUAAGAGCUCUGUCUUCCUCUUCCUACAGGAAAAGAAAGCAAACAUCAAGAAACAGAAAGCCAAAAGGGUGCUAGAGGUUCAAAUCCAGACAUUGAACAUACAGAAAGAGGAACUAAAUACGGACCUGUACCACAUGAAACGUUCUCUCAGAUACUUUGAAGAAAAGUCCAAGGAUCUGGCUGUCCGCCUGCAACAUUCAUUGCAGCGUAAAGGAGAGUUAGAGAGUGUUCUCUCUGAUGUCAUGGCCACACAGAAGAAGAAGGCAAACCAGUUGUCCAGCCCCAGUAAAGCAGGUACGGAGUGGAAGUUAGAGCAGUCCAUGCGGGAGGAGGCACUACUGAAAGUGCAGCUGACACAGUUGAAGGAGUCAUUUCAACAACUCCAAUUAGAAAGACAUGAAUAUGCUGAACAUCUAAAAGGAGAGAGGGCCCGGUGGCAGCAGAGGAUGAGAAAAAUGUCGCAGGAGAUUUGCACAUUAAAGAAAGAGAAGCAGCAAGAUAUGCGUCGGGUAGAGAAGCUGGAGAGGAGCUUGUCCAAACUCAAAAACCAGAUGGCUGAACCCUUGCCCCCGGAGCCCCCAGCAGUGCCCUCUGAGGUGGAGCUGCAGCACCUGAGGAAGGAACUAGAGAGAGUGGCAGGAGCGCUCCAGGCCCAGGUCAAAAACAAUCAGCGCAUAAGUCUCCUGAACCGGGGACAAGAAGAGAGGAUUCGGGAGCAGGAAGAGAGGCUUCGGAAGCAGGAAGAGAGGAUUCAGGAGCAGCACAAGAGCCUUCAGCAGCUGGCCAAGCCACAGAGCGUCUUCGAGGAGCCAAACAAUGAGAACAAGAGCGCACUGCAGUUGGAGCAGCAAGUAAAGGAGCUACAGGAGAAGCUUGGUGAGGUGAAGGAGUCGGAAACCUCCACCCCAUCCAAGAAGGGCUGGGAGGCGGGCAGCAGCCUCUGGGGAGGGGAGGUACCAGGCCAGAGGCAGCUUCCAGCCUGGGGGCUGGUGACCACAGCACCCCCCAGGGCAGUCCUGUUUCUUGCUUCCUGCCUCUGACUUUUAAAGGUGGGUAGCCCUGGGCUCCUCUCAGGUCUGGACAUCAUCAUCCUAGCUAGAGGCAUGGAGCCCCCAAUCACAGGGGAAGAGACAGUGGUAUAACAGGCUCCUUAUGCCAGGUGCAGUGGCUCAUGCCUAUAAUCCCAGCACUUUGGGAGGCUGAGGCAGGAGAAUCACUUGAGGUCGGGAGUUUGAGAUCAGCCUGGCCAAUGUGGUAAAACCUCAUCUCUACUAAAAUUAC
ensembl:lncRNA GOLGA8IP golgin A8 family member I, pseudogene